GUUUUAUUGGCCUGCAGGAAACAAAUAACAAACAUGUAGAUGUAUGUUUCUGUGUCUGCACUCCACAGCUCCCCUGAAUAAAUUGACAGAUAAACAAAAUUGCUACAAUACAACAAAACACAAAUUUGCUAACAUGCCAACACGAGGAGCUCAGGUCACCAAGCUAAUCCUCGUAGGCAAAACCAAAAAUUACCCAACAAAUCUAAACAAAUUAUUACGAGAACGACGAGUAAUGUAAUAUAAUGAGCAGCAAAUAAUGCACAGCAAAAACAGGAACACAAACUGAUUUCUGCAAGAAAAUGUAAAAAUAAAUCAAGCGCCUUUCUCCACACAACCUACCCUCAUCGGUGCAUGCGGCAACAUGAGACAGGACAGAAAGAGCAGGUAGUACGGAAACAAAAAAAGUUCAAAAAGUGCGGUGUGCAGUACGGAAAGUAUUAGAGUGGACGAAAUAAAAAAAAAAAUCCAA